rnacentral:rRNA from 1 species
CAGUAGCCGCGGGAAUACGUAGGUGGCGAGCGUUGUCCGGAUUUAUUGGGCGUAAAGGGAGUGUAGGCGGUCUUUUAAGUCUGAUGUGAAAGCCCACGGCUCAACCGUGGAGGGUCAUUGGAAACUGGGAGACUUGAGUGCAGAAGAGGAGAGCGGAAUUCCAUGUGUAGCGGUGAAAUGCGUAGAUAUAUGGAGGAACACCAGUGGCGAAGGCGGCUCUCUGGUCUGUAACUGACGCUGAGGCUCGAAAGCGUGGGGAGCAAACAGGAUUAGAUACCCGGUAGUCCCUGUCUCUUAUACC